AGAGACGAGCGGCGGACGGGUGAGUAAUACUUGGGGAUCUGCCUGAUGGCGGGGGACAACCACUGGAAACGGUGGCUAAUACCGCAUAAUGCCUACGGGCCAAAGUGUGGGACCUUCGGGCCACAUGCCAUCAGAUGAACCCAAGCGAGAUUAGCUAGUUGGUGAGGUAAUGGCUCACCAAGGCGACGAUCUCUAGCUGUUCUGAGAGGAUGAUCAGCCACACUGGGACUGAGACACGGCCCAGACUCCUACGGGAGGCAGCAGUGGGGAAUAUUGGACAAUGGGCGCAAGCCUGAUCCAGCCAUGCCGCGUGUGUGAAGGAGGCCUUCGGGUUGUAAAGCACCUUUCAGUGGUGAGGAAGGCGUUGUAGUUAAUAGCUGCAACGAUUGACGUUAGCCACAGAAGAAGCACCGGCUAACUCCGUGCCAGCAGCCGCGGUAAUACGGGAGGGUGCGAGCGUUAAUCGGAAUUACUUGGGCGUAAAGCGCACGUAGGCGGCUUGUUAAGCGAGAUGUGAAAGCCCAGGGCUCAACCUUGGAAUUGCAUUUUGAACUGGCAGCUAGAGUUUUGAAGAGGGUGGGUAGAAUUUCCAGGGUAGCGGUGAAAUGCGUAGAUUUUGGGAAGGAAUACCAGUGGGCGAAGGCGGCCACCUGGUCAAAAACUGACGCUGA
rnacentral:rRNA from 1 species